GACGAACGCUGGCGGCGUGCUUAACACAUGCAAGUCGAACGGAAAGGCCCUGCCUUUGUGGGGUGCCCGAGUGGCGAACGGGUGAGUAACACGUGAGUAACCUGCCCUUGACUUUGGGAUAACUUCAGGAAACUGGGGCUAAUACCGGAUAGGAGCGCCUGCUGCAUGGUGGGGGUUGGAAAGUUUCGGCGGUUGGGGAUGGACUCGCGGCUUAUCAGCUUGUUGGGGGGGUAGUGGCUUACCAAGGCUUUGACGGGUAGCCGGCCUGAGAGGUUGAUCAGCCACAUUGGGACUGAGAUACGGACCAGACUCCUACGGGAGGCAGCAGUGGGGAAUAUUGCACAAUGGGCGGAAGCCUGAUGCAGCAACGCCGCGUGCGGGAUGACGGCCUUCGGGUUGUAAACCGCUUUCGCCUGUGACGAAGCGUGAGUGACGGUAAUGGGUAAAGAAGCACCGGCUAACUACGUG
rnacentral:rRNA from 1 species